rnacentral:rRNA from 1 species
AACGAACGCUGGCGGCAGGCUUAACACAUGCAAGUCGAGCGCCCUUUCGGGGGAGCGGCGGACGGGUGAGUAACGCGUGGGGAUAUGAACUUCUCUACGAAAUAGCCUCGGGAAACUGAGAGUAAUACCGUAUACGCCCUAUGGGGGAAAGAUUUAUCGGGGUAGGAUUAGCGCGCGUUGGAUUAGGUAGUUGGUGGGGUAAUGGCCUACCAAGCCGACGAUCCAUAGCUGGUUUGAGAGGAUGAUCAGCCACACUGGGACUGAGACACGGCCCAGACUCCUACGGGAGGCAGCAGUGGGGAAUCUUAUACAAUGGGGGCAACCCUGAUCUAGCCAUGCCGCGUGAGUGAGGAAGGCCUUAGGGUUGUAAAGCUCUUUCAGCUGGGAAGAUAAUGACGGUAAUAGCAGAAGAAGCCCCGGCUAACUCCGUG